rnacentral:rRNA from 1 species
UCCUGGCUCAGGACGAACGCUGGCGGCGUGCUUAACACAUGCAAGUCGAACGGGGUAUCAGGGUAGUAAUACCCGAAGUACCUAGUGGCGAACGGGUGCGUAACACGUGAGCAACCUACCCCAGAGCUUGGAAUAACACCGGGAAACCGGUGCUAAUACCGAAUACUCUCAUUCGGCCGCAUGACUGAAUGAGGAAAGAUUUAUCACUCUGGGACGGGCUCGCGGCCUAUCAGCUUGUUGGUGAGGUAACGGCUCACCAAGGCUACGACGGGUAGCUGGUCUGAGAGGACGAUCAGCCACACUGGGACUGAGACACGGCCCAGACUCCUACGGGAGGCAGCAGUGGGGAAUAUUGCGCAAUGGGCGAAAGCCUGACGCCGCAACGCCGCGUGGAGGAUGAAGGCUUUCGGGUUGUAAACUCCUUUCAGCAGGGACGAAACUGACGGUACCUGCAGAAGAAGCCCCGGCUAACUACGUGCCGGCAGCCGCGGUGAGACGUAGGGGGCAAGUGUUGUCCGGAUUUAUUGGGCGUAAAGAGCUCGUAGGCGGCUCGGCAAGUCGGAUGUGAAAUCUCCAGGCUUAACCUGGAGUCGCCAUCCGAUACUGCUAUGGCUAGAGUCCGGUAGAGGAUCGUGGAAUUCCUGGUGUAGCGGUGAAAUGCGCAGAUAUCAGGAGGAACACCAACGGCGAAGGCAGCGAUCUGGGCCGGUACUGACGCUGAGGAGCGAAAGCGUGGGGAGCGAACAGGAUUAGAUACCCUGGUAGUCCACGCCCUAAACGUUGGGCACUAGGUGUGGGGCCUAUUUCGACGGGUUCCGUGCCGUAGCUAACGCAUUAAGUGCCCCGCCUGGGGAGUACGGUCGCAAGGCUAAAAC